rnacentral:rRNA from 1 species
CUACGGGCUGCAGCAGUGGGGAAUAUUGCACAAUGGGGGAAACCCUGAUGCAGCAACGCCGCGUGGAGGAUGACGCAUUUCGGUGUGUAAACUCCUUUUAUAUCCCAAGAUAAUGACGGUAGGAUAUGAAUAAGCACCGGCUAACUCCGUGCCAGCAGCCGCGGUAAUACGGAGGGUGCAAGCGUUACUCGGAAUCACUGGGCGUAAAGGGCGCGUAGGCGGGUUGUCAAGUCUUGAGUGAAAUCCAACGGCUCAACCGUUGAACUGCUUGAGAAACUGGCAGCCUAGAGUAAGGGAGAGGUAGAUGGAAUUGGUGGUGUAGGGGUAAAAUCCGUAGAGAUCACCAGGAAUACCCAUUGCGAAGGCGAUCUGCUGGAACUUUACUGACGCUGAGGCGCGAAAGCGUGGGGAGCAAACAGGAUUAGAUACCCGUGUAGUC